rnacentral:rRNA from 1 species
GGUUAAGCGACUAAGCGUACACGGUGGAUGCCCUGGCAGUCAGAGGCGAUGAAGGGCGUGCUAAUCUGCGAUAAGCGCCGGUAAGGUGAUAUGAACCGUUAUAACCGGCGAUACCCGAAUGGGGAAACCCAGUGUGACUCGUCACACUAUCAUUAACUGAAUCCAUAGGUUAAUGAGGCGAACCGGGGGAACUGAAACAUCUAAGUACCCCGAGGAAAAGAAAUCAACCGAGAUUCCCCCAGUAGCGGCGAGCGAACGGGGAGGAGCCCAGAGCCUGAAUCAGCAUGUGUGUUAGUGGAAGCGUCUGGAAAGGCGCGCGAUACAGGGUGACAGCCCCGUACACAAAAGCGCAUAUGCUGUGAGCUCGAUGAGUAGGGCGGGACACGUGGUAUCCUGUCUGAAUAUGGGGGGACCAUCCUCCAAGGCUAAAUACUCCUGACUGACCGAUAGUGAACCAGUACCGUGAGGGAAAGGCGAAAAGAACCCCGGCGAGGGGAGUGAAAAAGAACCUGAAACCGUGUACGUACAAGCAGUGGGAGCCCCACCACUAAGCCAGUGGUGAACUCCACAUACGCAUCCUUUGCUGAGGAUACGGUUAACGGAGCGCAAGCGACGUUCAACCGCAAAAGAAGCAGAGGGGGCUUAGUGGUGGGGUGACUGCGUACCUUUUGUAUAAUGGGUCAGCGACUUAUAUUCUGUAGCAAGGUUAACCGAAUAGGGGAGCCGGAGGGAAACCGAGUCUUAAUUGGGCGUUAAGUUGCAGGGUAUAGACCCGAAACCCGGUGAUCUAGCCAUGGGCAGGUUGAAGGUUGGGUAACACUAACUGGAGGACCGAACCGACUAAUGUUGAAAAAUUAGCGGAUGACCUGUGGCUGGGGGUGAAAGGCCAAUCAAACCGGGAGAUAGCUGGUUCUCCCCGAAAGCUAUUUAGGUAGCGCCUCGUGAAUUCAUCUCCGGGGGUAGAGCACUGUUUCGGCUAGGGGGCCAUCCCGGCUUACCAACCCGAUGCAAACUGCGAAUACCGGAGAAUGUUAUCACGGGAGACACACGGCGGGUGCUAACGUCCGUCGUGAAGAGGGAAACAACCCAGACCGCCAGCUAAGGUCCCAAAGUCAUGGUUAAGUGGGAAACGAUGUGGGAAGGCCCAGACAGCCAGGAUGUUGGCUUAGAAGCAGCCAUCAUUUAAAGAAAGCGUAAUAGCUCACUGGUCGAGUCGGCCUGCGCGGAAGAUGUAACGGGGCUAAACCAUGCACCGAAGCUGCGGCAGCGACGCUGAUGCGUUGUUGGGUAGGGGAGCGUUCUGUAAGCCUGCGAAGGUGGCCUGUGAGGGUUGCUGGAGGUAUCAGAAGUGCGAAUGCUGACAUAAGUAACGAUAAAGCGGGUGAAAAGCCCGCUCGCCGGAAGACCAAGGGUUCCUGUCCAACGUUAAUCGGGGCAGGGUGAGUCGACCCCUAAGGCGAGGCCGAAAGGCGUAGUCGAUGGGAAACGGGUUAAUAUUCCCGUACUUGGUGUUACUGCGAAGGGGGGACGGAGAAGGCUAUGUUGGCCGGGCGACGGUUGUCCCGGUUUAAGCGUGUAGGUGUGUGUUCCAGGUAAAUCCGGUUCACUUUAACACUGAGGCGUGAUGACGAGGCACUACGGUGCUGAAGCAACAAAUGCCCUGCUUCCAGGAAAAGCCUCUAAGCAUCAGGUAACAUCAAAUCGUACCCCAAACCGACACAGGUGGUCAGGUAGAGAAUACCAAGGCGCUUGAGAGAACUCGGGUGAAGGAACUAGGCAAAAUGGUGCCGUAACUUCGGGAGAAGGCACGCUGACACGUAGGUGAAGUGAUUUACUCACGGAGCUGAAGUCAGUCGAAGAUACCAGCUGGCUGCAACUGUUUAUUAAAAACACAGCACUGUGCAAACACGAAAGUGGACGUAUACGGUGUGACGCCUGCCCGGUGCCGGAAGGUUAAUUGAUGGGGUCAGCGCAAGCGAAGCUCCUGAUCGAAGCCCCGGUAAACGGCGGCCGUAACUAUAACGGUCCUAAGGUAGCGAAAUUCCUUGUCGGGUAAGUUCCGACCUGCACGAAUGGCGUAAUGAUGGCCAGGCUGUCUCCACCCGAGACUCAGUGAAAUUGAACUCGCUGUGAAGAUGCAGUGUACCCGCGGCAAGACGGAAAGACCCCGUGAACCUUUACUAUAGCUUGACACUGAACAUUGAGCCUUGAUGUGUAGGAUAGGUGGGAGGCUUUGAAGUGUGGACGCCAGUCUGCAUGGAGCCGGCCUUGAAAUACCACCCUUUAAUGUUUGAUGUUCUAACGUGGACCCGUGAUCCGGGUUGCGGACAGUGUCUGGUGGGUAGUUUGACUGGGGCGGUCUCCUCCUAAAGAGUAACGGAGGAGCACGAAGGUUGGCUAAUCCUGGUCGGACAUCAGGAGGUUAGUGCAAUGGCAUAAGCCAGCUUGACUGCGAGCGUGACGGCGCGAGCAGGUGCGAAAGCAGGUCAUAGUGAUCCGGUGGUUCUGAAUGGAAGGGCCAUCGCUCAACGGAUAAAAGGUACUCCGGGGAUAACAGGCUGAUACCGCCCAAGAGUUCAUAUCGACGGCGGUGUUUGGCACCUCGAUGUCGGCUCAUCACAUCCUGGGGCUGAAGUAGGUCCCAAGGGUAUGGCUGUUCGCCAUUUAAAGUGGUACGCGAGCUGGGUUUAGAACGUCGUGAGACAGUUCGGUCCCUAUCUGCCGUGGGCGCUGGAGAACUGAGGGGGGCUGCUCCUAGUACGAGAGGACCGGAGUGGACGCAUCACUGGUGUUCGGGUUGUCAUGCCAAUGGCACUGCCCGGUAGCUAAAUGCGGAAGAGAUAAGUGCUGAAAGCAUCUAAGCACGAAACUUGCCCCGAGAUGAGUUCUCCCUGAGACUUUAGGUCUCCUGAAGGAACGUUGAAGACGACGACGUUGAUAGGCCGGGUGUGUAAGCGCAGCGAUGCGUUGAGCUAACCGGUACUAAUGAACCGUGAGGCUUAACCUU